ACUGUAGUGAGGGAGCUUCCUUCAGCCCACUCAUGGAUGCAAUAGAGGGACUGAAUUAGCUGCCGCCUCAUUCAUUUAAACACCCAGUAGAGAAGGAAGAGCAUUAUACUACUGUGAUUGAGCGAAUGAUGCGGGAGAUAGUUUUCCAUCCCUUUUCCUCUGUGCUUGGACUGAAGGGAGCUCCCUUUCCCCGUUUU
rfam:Daucus carota subsp. sativus cultivar DH1 chromosome 6, whole genome shotgun sequence.